UGACUUGGCUCUUCAUGAUGAAGAACAGCAAGUUGGUCCAUGUGAGAUAAUAUUUAAUCAUAAGUUCAUAACCAUUAGGCAAACGCGUUAUUUCCACUUCAUAUCAAACAACAUUGGUAGCCCUAGUGUUAUACUACUUUCCCAAGUUUCCAUGCAUUUAUAUCUCAUUAAUUCAUUUACUAUAUUGUACUGGAUGCUGGAUACACUAAUAAUACGUAUCUGCCCAAAAUCCUUUUGUCUAAUUUCCACGUGAUGUAGUUGAGAAGAAGCGCACUACCAAAUGAAAAUAAGAGUACAACUAUGUUCCUACAUCGCGUAACCAAAUGAUGGAACCGCAUGAACUCUGACACUCAAAGUUGAAAUAUAUUAUUAGUUUGCCUUAUAUAAUA
rnacentral:lncRNA from 1 species